rnacentral:rRNA from 1 species
AGCAGCCGCGGUAAUUCCAGCUCCAAUAGCGUAUAUUAAAGUUGUUGCAGUUAAAAAGCUCGUAGUUGAAUUUCGGGGUCAGUAGGUCGGUCGUGCCACUGGUAUGAACUGGUUUUACUGAUUCCUCCCUCUUGAAGAACUGUAAUGCCAUUAAUUUGGUGUUGCAGGGAAUCAGGACUGUUACUUUGAAAAAAUUAGAGUGUUUAAAGCAGGCUUUAGCUUGAAUACAUUAGCAUGGGAUAAUGAAAUAGGACGUUUGAUCCUAUUUUGUGGUUUCUAGGAUUGACGUAAUGAUUAAUAGGGAUAGUUGGGGGCAUUAGUAUUCAAUUGUCAGAGGUGAAAUUCUUGGAUUUAUUGAAGACUAACUACUGCGAAAGCAUUUGCCAAGGAUGUUUUCAUUAAUCAAGAACGAAAGUUAGGGAUCGAAGACGAUCAGAUACCGUCGUAGUUUUAACCAUUAAACUAUGCCGACUAGGAAUCAGACGAUUGUUAAUUUUUAAUGUACUUCGUUUGGCUACCUUACGGGAAACCAAAGGUUCGUUUGGGUUACG